CAUGUUCAGAGUUGUACAGUCCAACCAUUAUUGCUCUUUUUUUUCUGAUAUCAGCCUAUGCAAUUGGCUGAUUUACAGCCCUUGGAUUCUGCUGAACUAUGC